rnacentral:rRNA from 1 species
UACGUAGGGGGCAAGCGUUGUCCGGAUUUAUUGGGCGUAAAGCGCGUGUAGGCGGCCAGGUAGGUCCGUUGUGAAAACUCGAGGCUCAACCUCGAGACGUCGACGGAAACCCUCUGGCUAGAGUCCGGAAGAGGAGAGUGGAAUUCCUGGUGUAGCGGUGAAAUGCGCAGAUAUCAGGAAGAACACCCGUGGCGAAGGCGGCUCUCUGGGACGGUACUGACGCUGAGACGCGAAAGCGUGGGGAGCGAACAGG